AUGUAAGGUAGGCUUUUCGGUUUUCCUUCUUCUCCUCAACCCCUGAAAUCUUCCAUAACUGGUUUCAUUGCCCUACAAUAUUGUUUUCGAAAUUUCAAUACGGAUUGACAAUUGAGAACUCGAGUGUCUAAUGCGCAACUUUUUACAAGAUUUCACUCGGUUUUGUGAUAAUUGGCAUUUUUGCGUGGUUCAACAUUUCAAAUUUUUAAUUUGCCAAUAUUGUGGUACUUUAAAGCUAAUUGUUGAAACAAGGGGGAUUGAAUCUUUGAACGGAAGAAACAUAAAUUAUAUUUGGAUUUCUUUUGAUGGAAAAAUCAUUGUUGAACAAGUAAAGUUGCAUCAACAGUGAUUUCGACCUACGUCAGCAGUGUUGCACGUUCACUAACAAUUAUGCUGUUAAGAAAUGUAAGGACUCUACUGAACUGCUAACUCUCUACUCGCUAAGUCUUUUGAUGUUCGGUAUCACGUGUGAUUCGUUUUCUUUCAGCUUUGUUUACUCAACUCAAAAUACGUUACUGCAUAAUGUUGUUAAUCACUUUUGCUAAUUCAAGAAAUAUAUUACUAUCAUUGUUUUCUCAGAAAUUUUUUUAAGGAUUGCUUUGAAUUUUGUUUUAUGUUUUUGGCACUUGAUUGAAACUAUAGAUGAAGGAUCAUGAAAUCACUUGAUCUCUAAAACUAUUUGAUGUACGCUAAAAGUAAUACGAAUGGACUAUGGAGUAAAUGCUGCUAGCGGUGCUGUUUUGAAAGUUCUUAAUUGCAGCGAGGAAGUUGUGAAUGUAAUACAACUACAACUUGCACUAACUAUACAUCUUAGGCCCGGUAUACGGGGGUACCUGCCACAUAAUUUUAAGACCCCGAAAGUGCCUGAAUAGAGUAUUAGCUAGUACCUUUAAUUUGCAAGAUAUGGGGCCGCAAAAUCUUCAGACCCCAAAAAUAUCGAUUUAAGGUAAUUUAAGUGCUUCACGAUUUGCUUUGUGAUAUAAGCUCACUCUGCUAGAUUUUAAUGUUUGUAUUUCACUUAUGUUAUUAAUUGAAAUAUCUUGGAAAUGAAUGCAGAGUCAUCUAUUAGUUUGAACCCCUCCAAAGACAAUUCUCUAUGCUUCUGGAAAAUUUCAAGGAAGAAUGGUCAAUGUAACUCAUUAGUUAUGCAGAGUGGAUUGUACUUACAAGUUCGAAUGAUCGUACACGAUCCUCCUUAUUGUUCUCAAUAGAUAUUUCUAAAUAUUUGUUCACACCUGAUAUUUUCGUCAAAUUAAACAGCUUCGAGUUCAUUGUGUUGAAGCCCUUGAAACUCCAAUUGUGGGCGAAUACAAGUAUAGUGGAUUUGUCUAUCGCAAAUGGAAGCAGAUGCCAAGAGGAGAUAUUGAGCCGACAAUAGGGAAAACCUACAGAUUGGAGAGGCCAGGAGGUUUGGCUGUUCAGAAAGGAAAUGUCUUACUAAAGUCCCUUUACUACAUCUGCAUUGUAGGGAGCUUGUUCUCCUAAUAUUGUCAAAUUUAUUGAGCUUCAUGGUCGGAAAAACGAUGAAACACUUCAAUUAUAGCUCAAAACCAGAUCUCCUCCGGUUUGUGUCCUGCGUGUGAAAAUAUUAUGAUAGAAUUUUAUUAUGAUAGUGAAGUUCAUUUCAAAAUCAAUUACGUUAUAUUAUUUGUUCUUAA